GAUGAACGCUAGCGGCAGGCUUAAUACAUGCAAGUCGUGGGGCAGCAUGAGUAGCAAUACUUGAUGGCGACCGGCAAACGGGUGAGGAACACGUACACAACCUUCCUUCAAGCGGGAAUAGCCCAGAGAAAUUUGGAUUAAUACCCCAUAAUAUAUUUGAUAAGGCAUCUUAUUAAUAUUAAAAGCUUCGGCACUUGAUGAUGGUUGUGCGGCUGAUUAGAUAGUUGGCGGGGUAACGGCCCACCAAGUCUACGAUCAGUAGCUGAUGUGAGAGCAUGAUCAGCCACACGGGCACUGAGACACGGGCCCGACUCCUACGGGAGCAGCAGUAAGGAAUAUUGGACAAUGGACGAAAGUCUGAUCCAGCCAUGCCGCGUGAAGGAUUAAGGUCCUCUGGAUUGUAAACUUCUUUUAUAUUGGGACGAAAAAAGGGCAUUCUUGUUCACUUGACGGUACCAUAUGAAUAAGCAACCGGCUAACUCCGUGCCAGCAGCCG
rnacentral:rRNA from 1 species